rnacentral:lncRNA from 10 species
UGGAAACGUGAAAGAAGAAAAGCUUUGUUGUGAUUUACUCUGUGGCCCUCCGAGACUUCGUGUAACAGCAACUGCAUUUUAAUGCAAUGGCAGCUAUGGAAAACACAAAACUAUCAGUCAUUGUCAAAUACUCCAUAAAUGGAGACAGAGAAGGGGUUCAGUUCUCUGUGUAACAAGGACAGAGGAGAAAGGCAUCUGCAGUGUCAAAUCUACAGAGACAAGUGCACCUGGAGACAAAUGACCAGACUACCAUAAAACAGAAGCUUAAUUAUGUUCACUUACAUUUUCAAAU